GAAAAGAAAUUUAAUUAUGUUAUUUAUAAGGAUUGAUUUAUCUUUUUUAUUAGAUGCGUCCUAAUUGCUUCUAUAACAUCAACCUAUUGAAAGCUAUAAUAUUUUCUUAUACCAUGUAUAAGUUUUGUGUUAUGGCGAAAAAGUAUUAGUUUUCACAAAUAUAUUUGUUAAGGUAUUGCUUUGAAUAUUCACUCCACUACAUACAAACGGCGCCGUCGUGUUCAACGUAAGAAGCCAUUGUUGCCCUCGUGUGGUUUCGGCACCAAAGAAGUGUUUUUUGCCGUUUCUGUGCAAUUCUGAGCUUGAAGCGCUUGCGGAUUACGAGUACUCCUGGAGCCAUGACCACCCUCUGGAAAACGGUCACAAUCGAGGUCCCAAGAAAGUCUCCAGGAUGCCAUCGGAAAGCUCUGUCCGAGGCGUUUAUUCAAGAUCCUCGGUUCCGGGAGUGCAUAGUGACAAACUACAGCUAAACACGCAGCAGCUCUGGAGAUGUUGCUCGGAAGAUCUUGGGCGGGAUCUUGGGAGGAGUUCAACCCAACGAUCAACCGUUCAGCGAACGUGAACGGACAUGCUGGCCAAUGAGGAGCUGCUUCGAAAGUUAUUUUGAGAGCAGCGUGACCGAUACAGGUCCGUUGCAGUGUUUCAAAUUAUUAAUUAAAUGAUUUAUACAAUAAAAUAACUAUGUCUGAAUCA